rnacentral:rRNA from 1 species
UACAGAGGUCUCAAGCGUUGUUCGGAUUCAUUGGGCGUAAAGGGUGUGUAGGUGGCGCGCUAAGUCGGGUGUGAAAUUUCGGAGCUUAACUCCGAAACUGCAUUCGAUACUGGCGUGCUUGAGGACUGGAGAGGAGACUGGAAUUUACGGUGUAGCAGUGAAAUGCGUAGAUAUCGUAAGGAAGACCAGUGGUGAAGGCGGGUCUCUGGACAGUUCCUGACACUGAGACACGAAGGCCAGGGGAGCAAACGGG